GGAAUAUUGGACAAUGGGCGCAAGCCUGAUCCAGCCCUGCCGCGUGAGUGAUGAAGGCCUUAGGGUUUUAAAGCUCUUUCACCGAUGAAGAUAAUGACGGUAGUCGGAGAAGAAGCCCCGGCUAACUUCGUGCCAGCAGCCGCGGUAAUACGAAGGGGGCUAGCGUUGUUCGGAUUUACUGGGCGUAAAGCGCACGGAGGCGGUUUGUUAAGUCAGAGGUGAAAUCCCGGAGCUCAACUCCGGAACUGCCUUUGAUACUGGCAAGCUAGAGGUCGGAAGAGGUAAGUGGAACUCCUAGUGUAGAGGUGGAAUUCGUAGAUAUUAGGAAGAACACCAGUGGCGAAGGCGGCUUACUGGUCCGGAACUGACGCUGAGGUGCGAAAGCGUGGGGAGCAAAC
rnacentral:rRNA from 1 species